GGCGCAAGCCUGAUGCAGCAACGCCGCGUGAGGGACGACGGCCUUCGGGUUGUAAACCUCUUUUGGCAGGGAAGAAGCGAAAGUGACGGUACCUGCAGAAAGAGCACCGGCUAACUACGUGCCAGCAGCCGCGGUGAUACGUAGGGUGCAAGCGUUGUCCGGAAUUAUUGGGCGUAAAGAGCUCGUAGGCGGUUUGUCGCGUCUGCUGUGAAAACCCGAGGCUCAACCUCGGGCCUGCAGUGGGUACGGGCAAACUAGAGUGCGGUAGGGGAGAUUGGAAUUCCUGGUGUAGCGGUGGAAUGCGCAGAUAUCAGGAGGAACACCGAUGGCGAAGGCAGAUCUCUGGGCCGUAACUGACGCUGAGGAGCGAAAGCAUGGGGAGCGAACA
rnacentral:rRNA from 1 species